AGAGGAGCAUUGUGCGCCGGCGCCCUCACAAUUGCUGGGGAUUAUGUGCGACACACACACACACAGUUGCUCCGGUCUCCUCAUUUUUUCCCUGUUUCUACAGAAGCAUCAAGGCGUUGGUGAGACACGCGCACAGUUCAGGAACCACCCACUCCCGCUUGGAAACCAAUCAAAUGUUUAAACAUUUUUUAGCGCCAUCAUCAAUGUCCCGCCCCCUCAUCGUGCGACCUCGUGCAUCAUCAUCAAAGUCGUCAAUCAUCAGAAUACCCAAAAUGUCCACAGGCUCUUUAGAAGCAGCACUUGUUCUUGGAGAUGUGUUUCUUGAUCAGAUACAGAAAGAAGAAAAAAAGCAAGCCAAGAGGUCUAAGCCACAUCCUACGACUGUGAAGUGGAGGCAAAGGGACAGAAAUGGGAAUGUUAUACGGCCGCUUCGGAAAAAAAACCUCAAUAAAACAAAAACUGAAAAGAAAGGCUCCUAACCACGGUCCCACCAGUGUGCCCAUCCAAGAGGAAUUUGUUUAUCGAGCAGAAACUGGUAACUGUACACUGUGGUUAUAUGGAAUGGCAUCUGGUUAAUAGAGUUUAAGUAAUAUUCUGAAAAAAAUAUUGUACACAAAUAUUUUGCCCAAUAGUACACAAUAAAUGUUUCUUGAGCAUCAAAUCAUCAU